CUACCAGGCAGUUACAGACGUCGCUAUCAAUCAGUUAUACUUUCUGUCUAUAAAAAAAAAUCUCAGAUAUGUUCUUCUCUAAGCUCUAAACUCUAUCUCAAAACUCUACUAAAAUUUUAUUCGAGUGCUCCAUUUCUGUUGACACAAAGUACUGACUUGAGCAUCGGAGGGUCUUGCCGGAGCACCCCCAACUCUGGUUUAGACUUUUCUUACAGGUCCCGAUGGC
rnacentral:lncRNA from 1 species